rnacentral:rRNA from 1 species
UACGAAGGGGGCUAGCGUUGUUCGGAUUCAUUGGGCGUAAAGGGUGCGUAGGUGGCGGGGUAAGUCUGGUGUGAAAUCUCGGGGCUCAACCCCGAAACUGCACUGGAUACUGCCUUGCUAGAGUACUGGAGAGGAGAUUGGAAUUUACGGUGUAGCAGUGAAAUGCGUAGAUAUCGUAAGGAAGACCAGUGGCGAAGGCGAAUCUCUGGACAGUUACUGACACUGAGGCACGAAGGCCAGGGGAGCAAACGGG